CAAAGGACAAAGAGAUAUUCUCCCAAUCUCAUCCCCAGGGCCUCGUUGUGGUAGAACACGAGACCUGGAGUCGAGGUUGAUGUUCGCCAUAUUGAAUGAAAUUAUAUAGGAAACAAUCACAUUAUGGUAUGGCAGCUACAAUGACGUAACUUGCACAAAAGAAUAGAUUCAUAAAGUCUUUUUGAAAUCACUGUAGUCUUUGUUUUACAAGUUAUAUAAAACAUCUGUUAUAUAAAACAUCUGCAUAUGUUUGUGUUUCAGCACGCAAUGGAAUGUGGUUAUGGUACUGCAAUUUUCUUAAUAUUAAUGUCGUCAAGUGUAUUUGUAAUACGUGGUGAGAAAGCAAGUGUUUGGGGCUCGGUUUAUCUCGAUGAAUUUGGCGAGGAAGAUAUUGAUUUAAGGUCAGAUUUUUUCUUGUCACUUUGUAAUAAUUUAAAAUCGCGAAAACCUCCCGACAUUUUCGUUUCGAUAACAAUUAUAAACAAUUGUUGAAUGAGGUUGAGUAUGAUAUCGAGAAUUAUCAAGGCCGAGGUUUAUGUUAAUAUUCCAUCGAAGCCGAAGGCUGAGAUGUAUACUGACACAAACCGAGGCCUCGAUAAUUCUCGAUAUCACACGAAAACCGAAUUCAAUAAUUGUUUUAUUAUAUAUUCAAAAGCUAGAAAGAAAGAAAGAAAGAAAGAAAGAAAGCAAAGCCAUUGUUUACGCUUUUAAAAAUAUGGAAUUUUCACGCGCUUUUUAGCAAACAAUGGACCGCGCCGGGGCUUGGUAACCACAGCGUGCAAGGCUUCAAGAUACCUAAUCUCGUUCCCCGAGCCUGCGAUCCUCGGGAAGGAAUGCGAGGCUCUGGGAUAAUCCGUUUCAGGGAGGAAUCUGAUUGGCCGUUGAAAUGGAAAGCGUAGUUCAAUCUUAGCCAGGAUUCCUGGCUUCCGGCAACGGAUUAUCCCAGAGCCUAGCCUGCGUAGCAGGCGUUUAGUGCGGGCGGGAGAAGAGAGGGCGUCGUUAAAUAAAUGCCUGCCCAAAUGCCUAUGAUUAAUUUGUUCUUCUCCGAAGAAUCUUCGGAAAAGCUUCCCAUUGGUCAAUCUCGUUAACGGAAGUAAUUACGUAACUCAAAUGUCAACAAUAUAUCGAAAAUAUGCCGCCUGUUAUUGCUUUUCGAGGGAACUCUUAUAUUUCAAGUAUUUAGGCUUCGAAAUUCAGUUGAAACCAGAAUAGAGAAAGUCUAUUAUUAAUUUGCUACGUGGUGAAGACGCCGGUUAUCGCGAUUCUUCCUACGGAAUACGGAAAAUCUGCAAAUCAAAGCUUGCCCGAGCGGCGGGGAUCGAAGUAAAUUUCCUUAUAGUUGUCUUGUUAUUUGUUCACUUUAAAGUAUAAUUCAAGAUCAGAUAGUUGAGGCUACAUCACUUGGCAGUGCAGCUAUGAGGUUGGAUGAUGAUUUUAAGAAUAACAUUUCAAAACAUGCUCAACUGUUAUAAUUUUGCAGUUAAUUUGCUAUACGGCAGAAUACGUUAAACAACCGUGGUUCAGGAGCCUUUUAAAAGAUAAAAGCUCUGUGACUGUGUUGUGACUGUUGUCUAAAAUAGCUUCAAAAACUCAUUAAUAAUUCAUGAGGAAGAAACACA
rnacentral:lncRNA from 1 species